rnacentral:rRNA from 1 species
AGUGAACGAUGGCGGCGUGCCUAAUACAUGCAAGUCGAACGAAGUGGCGCACGGGUGAGUAAUAUAUAGUUAAGCUGCCCUACAAAGAGGAACAACAGCUGGAAACGACUGCUAAUACAUCAUAUUGUAGGAUGAGACUAUAUCGUAUCAGCUAGUUGGGACGUUAAUGGCGUCCUAAGGCUAUGACGCGUAACUGGUCUGAGAGGAUGAUCAGUCACAUUGGAAGUGAGACACUGUCCAAACUCCUACGGGAGGCAGCAGUAAGGAAUAUUGCGCAAUGGGGGAAACCCUGACGCAGCAACGCCGCGUGGAGGAUGACACUUUUCGGAGCGUAAACUCCUUUUAUCAGGAAAGCGGUACCUGAUGAAUAAGCACCGGCUAACUCCGUGCCAGCAGCCGCGGUAAUAC